AAAGAAGAAGUAUAAGAUGCAAUUUAAAGAAACUCCAUGAGCGUUGGAACCGAAGGAAUAUCAGCAAGAUGCAAGCAGCCAACGGCAAUUUGGCAAAAGGUGAGACUUCCUAUUGGAAGGAACGUAAAAAAUGGCCAUAAGCGAGGGACGAAGGGGGAGAAAGAGAGAGAGAAAUAGAGGGAGAGACAGAGAAGAAUCUCUUAGUCGAGGAAAAAGUGGGGAGAAGCGUGGGCGGGAAGAAGAGCAGCAAAGAGGAAAGUUCGCUCGAUCUCUCGUGGGAAUGUUACGAUAUUCGAGCAUUGUCGAGGAAGGCCACUCAAACGGUUACGUUGCGAAGAAGGAUCGAUAAGAUCUUGGAAAGAGAUGUCGACUAUAACGCGGUGGAAACGUUAACGGGCACUUGGAAUAUAUCGAUGGCUGGGUGUAUUGUAAACAAGAGGAGGAACGUGGAUACAUUUCGUAUAUGGAGAUGGAUUCAAGUACGAGACACGAGAAAGAAGUAUGAAGAAGAAAAGGAUGACAGAAAAAAUUCGAUUUCCAAUUUCUAUCACGUCAGCUUUAAACAACCAAGCUUCCGUUCGAUUACUUUCUUGCCGUCGUUCUUUUUUUUUUUUUUUUCAAUUUUCCACUUUCGUUCGAAUGCCUUUCUAUCGAAUAUGAAAAACAAUAAAAUAAAGAAAUGAUGGAGCCGCCGAUAUGAAAUAUAAAGAAAAUAUAGAUAUAUUCCACGAUUGGUAUUUGUAAAUUGUUUCUAUAAAAAAACAUAUCUUUCUAAAAUGCUGUAAAAAUUCGUAUUUUACUGGUUUAUUGUUUGCGCCCGUCGAAAUAAAAACUACCAACCGAAACGAGCAUCGCUAAUAAGUUAGAAUACUUUUUAAUUAUAGAUAAGCAAAAUGUGCAUUUGCAUGUGCGCGCAUGCGUUAAUGAAAUUGUAUAUUACUCUCUUAUACUUUCGUAUCAUUUUCCUGUAAAAUUCACGACCAUGAAAUUCACGACUGUGUAACGAGAUGAUCUUUUAUGGAUAACACGAGAUACAAACUUUUUGAAAAAGAAAAAAAAAAUAUAAAAAUGCGUAAGACAAAAUGAAAACAGCAUUUAUUUUGUAUCAUGUCAAUCUCGAAAAGAUGAAAAAGAACAAGCGAAAGAGAAAAAAAAAAGAGAGAAAGAACUUUACGUAGCAAUUGGUCCUGAAUGUCAGUUGCUUACAACAUUGAAUAUACACGCUUCAUAUGACAUUCUCGAGCAUAAAUCUCUCAGGAUGCGUGGUUAAUUGUACAAUCGUGAUAAAUCAAACGAUCAGCGGGAGGUCGUAAUUAUCCGUAUGUGGACAAUGAUAAAUCAAAUGUAAAGACGUAGAAUCAUAAAAUGUAAUAGCUUACGGUUUAUGAAUAUUACGGUAAAACUCUGUAUGCAGUACUGUUUGCUUCUUAUUAAGCUUAACAAAAAUGUCCGCGUAUAAAGAGGUUAGUUUGUAACCGAUUGCUUCUCUAUCAUUUUCGUAAUACGUAUUAAAUCGAAACAUAGUUAUACAAGAGAAUAAUCAAAAUAUUUACAUAUUCGAAUAUAAAAUUAUUCGAAAUAAUAUUUAAUCUAUUAUGACUUAAUGACUUACAUGAAAAAUAUAGCAGAUUGUUGGAAACAUUA